GUGGUUAUGGCUCAGUGGUAGAGUGCUUACCUAGAGUGUGUGAGGCAUUGCGUUCGAUCCUCAGUACUACA
rnacentral:tRNA from 1 species